GAUGAACGCUGGCGGCGUGCCUAACACAUGCAAGUCGAACGAAGCACCUUACCUGAUUCUUCGGAUGAAAGUUUGGUGACUGAGUGGCGGACGGGUGAGUAACGCGUGGGUAACCUGCCCUGUACAGGGGGAUAACAGCUGGAAACGGCUGCUAAUACCGCAUAAGCGCACGAGGAGACAUCUCCUUGUGUGAAAAACUCCGGUGGUACAGGAUGGGCCCGCGUCUGAUUAGCUGGUUGGAAGGGUAACGGCCUACCAAGGCAACGAUCAGUAGCCGGUCUGAGAGGAUGAACGGCCACAUUGGAACUGAGACACGGUCCAAACUCCUACGGGAGGCAGCAGUGGGGAAUAUUGCACAAUGGGGGAAACCCUGAUGCAGCAACGCCGCGUGAGUGAAGAAGUAUUUCGGUAUGUAAAGCUCUAUCAGCAGGGAAGAUAAUGACGGUACCUGACGAAGAAGCUCCGGCUAAAUACGUG
rnacentral:rRNA from 1 species